UACGACGGGUGCAAGCGUUACUCGGAAUUACUGGGCGUAAAGCGCACGCAGGUGGCUGAGUCAGUCGAUUGUGAAAGCCCUGGGCUUAACCUGGGAAUUGCAGUCGAUACUACUCAGCUAGAGUAUGGGAGAGGGUAGUGGAAUUCCCGGUGUAGCGGUGAAAUGCGUAGAUAUCGGGAGGAACAUCAGUGGCGAAGGCGGCUACCUGGCCCAAUACUGACACUCAGGUGCGACAGCGUGGGGAGCAAACAGG
rnacentral:rRNA from 1 species